UACUAUGAGUCCUUGUAUUACCUAAUGGAUGCCAAAUUGUCCGCGAGCUAACAGCAUUAGUUAUAAAGUUUUACGAUCGGCCUAACAUACUGACAGUGAAUCUGUGGGUUUUUCAUUCAUCACUCAAUAAACAACUCUACUAUUUAAGUGUCCAAAAAAAAUAACGGUUUUAAUAAAAUUUGACAAAAAUCAGUAACAGCUAAGCGAACACCUAUUAUUUUGUCAUUGAGGGUAUGUAUUUUAGAGUAUAGCCUUCAUUAGUUUCUAAUUUCUUUAUAGAAAUUCCUUAAGUGUUCACUUUCAAAAUUACGCUUAGGCAACGAGAGGCAGAACCUUCCAUGUAUACACUACAUAGAUCCAUUGUAUACUUUAUAUCUAACUAUGUGUAAUUAAUUUUCAGCUCUAAAGUAGCAUAAACAGAAAAGUACAGGCGAUUCAAAAAUAAUGAAUAGCUUUGCAAUUUUUUUCAUUUCAUUAAAAUUACGAUCACUGGUAACCAGUUUGUAAUGCCAGACAGAACAAAUUAUUGCAUUUCAUCCUAAAAAGUAGACACAUAUUUUUUAUUAUCUCAUAUUCCAUGUUUUAUUCCCACAAUAGUGAAUAUUGCAAAGAGGUAGACAGUUCAAUGGUCAAGGAUGUUGAGCGAAAAUGCCGUUACCCUUCCGCGCAACAAGCACAACUGGUUUUAAUUCAUCUAUGCUUCUAUUGUUUGCUAAUACGUGCACUAGUAAUUGAUGCUGGUCCAGCUUUUGGUCCAGGUGUGCUCUAUCGUACGUAUUGCCGGCUAUGCAUUAAACGCACCACCAAAAAUCAUCAUCUAGCGUGCAACAAAAAGCAAAAGCAUUGAACUUUUAUACAAAUUCCUUGCGAUCAAUUGUUUUGCUACAAUAAACUUGUAUUUCAAGUUUCAAAGGGACGCGAAUGUUAACUUUAUCUACCUUAUUGUCCAUUGUCCUUGUUCGUAUGGGCAAAUACUGCUGCAUUGGUGUAUCUUUGUUAUACGGCCUUCGUUCCGUUAAGCCGAGCGCUUUAUAAAGCCGUGAUUUUGCGCAGUUACGAUCAGUUUCAUUUCGAUCUUCAAACAUUCAACAUCAACAAAGAUCAUAGUGGUUUCAGUCAACGUGACAGGAUCACACAGAUCCUGCCAUUGGAUUGGAGUUUUCUUCACUCGUGUGCUUUCGAGUGAAUUUACCCAUCAGUGUUGAUCCUCAAUCCGUGUUUUAAAUUGCAACAAAAAGUCAGAUUCACAUGAAAUUAAUAUGAAAAACUAAAAUACUAAAAUAAAAACGUUUGAAUUACAAAAAUAUUAAUUGGAUACAGAAAAGCAAUAAAUCGUUAAAAACAUAUAAACAAUUAAGAAACACAUUAAUCAACGAAAAACCAGUUUUAAAAACCACCAGCAAUAAGUAUAAAAGUUUUUAAAUGAAUUAUUAAGUGAAAGUCAGUUCCAAGGGCAAACGUCCAACAACAAAUCAUGCUGUGUUCUAUAAAGAAGAAUUUAAAUCUAAUCUAGUAUUUUUACAUUUACAGGACCUCUCUUUAAUUACCCACAAGGAGUGUACGCAUAAUAUGAUCAAUUGAAACUCAUCAAAAUUCUGAAAUACGUCAUACAAAAUCUACAUUUCUAAAUACAUACAUACAUCCAAAAUGAAUGUCUAAAUCUGUUUGAAACUUUUUUUAUACAACUUCGAUGCUUCUCAAAACAAAAUACUCUCCUAAAUGAGUACUUAAGAUGAUAAAUUCGACUCACAUUUGGUAGCAAAACAAAAGCCAUAUUAAGAUACACUCACACUCAUUUUAUAUGCGGCGAAGAAGUGUGACUUUCACGGGGAAAUUCACAGGAGAAACAGCGGAGAAGCAGAUAAAAUCCGUGCAAAGAUAAACUACCCCUUCAGUGUACAACUACUACUACAAAACAUGCAAAGGCGAAAUGCUAUUUUCCCCUGCAAAGGACACUCAACAGGACAGAGAUAAAGGCAUCACCCCAACGUACAAGCAGAUCUAUUCAACCCCUGGCGAAUAGCUAAAGCAGCAAAACUUCAUAAAUCUACAACCAACUCUCUCACCAACACAGUCUCAAAUGCAAAGCAAAACGAACUUUCGCGUUUUAUAAUAUGGUUGAAAUGCAAUGCUCAUAUUUCGGAUAGUUUAGGCUAGUGUUUUGGCUGUGACAAAAUUGCUACCGGCUAAUUGGCAUUGCAACCAAAUUUAGCAGCGUGAAGUAAAUAGCUGUAAAUGUAUCAUGGAAGUCCAAAACUGAGGUGAGCUACUGUUAAAAUCACAAUUUGUACCAAAAUCAAAAAUUAUUAAAAACAAAAAUACAAAAAAUGGCGCGAACCAUACAAAUCAACUGAGCGUCCAGCAAAUAUCAAGGCCACAGCGACGCGUUCUAGAUCAAACAAAAGCUUGUAUACUUUAAGCGACAUGUAGCUAUAAGCUUUGAGUUCAAGCUCAAUUAUAAUAGUGAAACAAAAGCCAAAAUUAAAAAUAUGCCACACACAACACUGUGCAACAAAGUUCUUCAUGUACAUCCAAGAAGCUGCAGAAAUACUGAGAUUUUCUAAAAAAAUUAACUUGCAAUAGUUAUGGUUUAAAACAUUAUUUCGUUUGAUAACAGUAUGUACUAUUUGUACUUAAAAAGUUAAUAAAACUUGAAAUUACUUAAAUUCGUUUGUGAAAUUUCCACCACCAUUUACUCUCUUCCAAUUCCACCACUACGCAGAACUUUCGACAGAACUAAAAUGGCAGCCGCUUCUUUGAUGUCAUUGAAGAAUGAAAUAGACCGGCAAUUUCAAGUGAAAUGAAAAUCAACUGCGUUGAUUGAAAAAGAUUCUUUUAGCAAUUUGCUAAAGUUGAAGUGAUUAAACCAAUAGCGUUCGAAAUUUUUAAUUCCAAGGAUUAUGAGCUUCAAGAAAUAUGCAAAAUGUUAAAAGAAAUUUUUACACAACGCCAAAAGCUCUAAAUCCAUAUUUAAUUUUUGCGGUAUAAAACGAAAUCUUGCAUACAGCGCUCAAUAUGCUAUAAAAUCAUUAUUUUUAAUUGUUAGUUAUUUCGAGAUCAACAAAAUUAAUAUGUAAUUUUUCGAAUUUUUAUCUUAACCUUCGUAAUAUUUCAUGUUCAUCAAAAUUACAAUUUUUCAAUAUAAUUACCAUUAACUAUCAUGGUUAGCCAUUAAGAGUUCAAAACUCUUCAAUUAUUAAAGCGAAUUAUUUAUUCUGACCAAAUCAUUCCUUGCAACUUCUAAUUAAUGCCAGUUAAAAACUUCUACCAGUACAAAUUUCAUUUUAAUAGGAAUUGUGAAAAGAAAUUCUAUGCUUUCUUUAAUUAUUAUACAAUUCUUGAGUAAAAUAUUUAUUUAUGACUUUUUCGCGUCAAACCAAUGCAAAAAAAAUUUCAAAAUAAUUUGUGUAGUUAAUGUAAGCAAAAUAUAAAAAAAUAACAUACAAAACAAUUUUCAAUAUUUCGACAACAUUAAGCAAUCUUGACAAAAAAAUUUUAAUUUUUUUAAAUUUUUAAUAUAAAAAAUAACCAAGGAAACAAUUUUCAAUAUUUCGACAAUAUUAAGCAAGCCAUAUUUUGACCAAAAAAAAAAAAAAAACAAUUUUAAUUUUUUUUUCUUUUUUCCAUUUAUCUAAUAUACAUAUUAUAAAAAAAAUAUAUUCAAAUCGGUUUUAGUUGAAAAAAAUAACAUUUCAAACUCAUGCUUAGUAAACAACAAUAUUUUAUGAGACCUAAAUUUCGAAAAUUAUACUUUUCAAAAUGUGCUCCUUUAUUAUUUUGACAAUAUUAAGCAAACCAAUUUUUUUCUUUGCAUUCAAAAAAGUGAUUAUUUCUCUUCGAAGUAAACAAUUUUAAAUUUUUGAAUUAUUCCAUAAAAAUUUAAAUUUGAUGUAAUCAAAAUUAAUUUUAAAAAUCUGUAUAACUUAAUAUUUCGAAAAUAAUAAUUAUUCAAAUGUAGAUAUUUCUUAUUUUGACAAUAUUUAAAACCAAAUAUUAAAACCAAAAACUUUGCCUUCAAAAAAGUGAUUAUAUUACUUCAAAAAUAAUUUUUUUUCACUAAAAUAUGAAUUUAAAAAAUUUUAAAUGGUUUGAAAUAAGAAUAUUACAAUAUUUUAUAAAAUUUAAUACAUCGAAAAUAAUAAUUUUGAAAAUGUAGACCUUUGUGAGAAGUAGUCAUAAGUAAGCAUAAUUUUGAAACUAUUAAUAAGCCAUUAGCCAAACAUCUUUUUAAAGCAAAAAUACACAACGGCAGCAUACUAAAAAACGUAAUACGGUUAAAUUUAGCGAAUUCUAAAGAAAUAGCGUAUGUAAAUAAUAACUUAACAAAAUUAAUUAAAAAACAUUAUUAUGCUUAAACGUUUCAAAUUAAAGUAAAUGAUUUAAAUUUAAAAAAAAUCUGUAAUUAAAAAAUAAUUAAUAUUUCAAAUUCAUUUUCACUAAAAAUAUAAAAGUUAAUUCUUUAACAAUAAUAUACUAUAACAAGGGAAGCAAAAAUUUUAACUGGAAAAAACUGAAAAUUUAAUAAUUUAAAAAUUUAUUUUUAGAAUUUUCAAAAUUCAACAAAUGUUGCGGCUUGCGAACAUACCUUUGGCACACGAGAAAAUUUCGAAGCAUUUACAAGUAACUGUUUUGAAUGAACAAGAAUUAAGAAACAAUACCAAAUUCAUAAAAUCACAAAUUAAUCAUCAUUAAAACACAAAAUUGUGAUAGCACAACGUCGACCAUUUAUUUUCAAAAAAUUAUUCAGCUCAAAAUCAAUCCAAUUUAUCAAACAUAAAACAAUAAUAAUUUAUUUUAAACUUAUUGAAAAACAUAUUAGAAACUCCAAAAAACACCACAAAAUGCAUACAAUUACAUAAAUUGUACUUCACGCAUACGUGAAUAACCAAAUUAUAUAAAAUAUAAAGACAACAAGAGCGACCUAUAAAGCCAACUUAAAGUGACACUAAAGCGCGCAUUAGUAUACAUAUUAACAGAGACAUAAAUUACGUUAUGCGGCAGAACGGAAGUCAUUAUGCGACAAACGCAAGAAAUUUUCAAAUUCAUACUCUUCUGGUAUUAGUCAACUACAAAGCUCAUUACAACUCCCCGGAAGGACACAAUAAAAAAUACACUUUGGCAAGCAACUCGGCUCGACAAGACAAAGUCAUCUUACAAAAGGCAAUACAAAAAAAACAACAAACAAAAACACUUUAUUUAACAGCAAAAUUUUUGAGUACGCGAAACAUUUUACGGCAUAGUGGUAAAAUAUUUCAAAACGUGGCACAAAAUUAACAAACCGAAUGAUAGGCGGUGCUAGAGAAAUUGAAUAUUUCGAUAGUGCGAAGUUUUGACCAUAGGUCCAUAAAAAUGCGCUGCCUACCAUUUGAAAACUAACUAAGAGUGGCUAGGCAUUAUACCCUAUUUAAAAAAAAUCUACCAAAAUCAAACUCUAUUGCAAAUUAACACAUAAAAUGGCCAACCAUAUAUCAUGACAGUCCCCCAAAUGUAAACAAAUGCACCAGCACUGAAAUCUAUAAAUCUGAAAUCAAAAUCUGUAACUCUCGAUUACUUAUUCAAACGGAAAUGCAAAAAGCUCGUUUAUUUGUCAGAACUUUCAACACAAACGAUAAAACGACGAAAUUCAAAUCAAAAUCAACUUUUGAAUUACAUCAAAAAACUAUAACUCCCGCACCUCUACACGCAUUUUACCUACAUACGUGGGUCAAAAGACCCAACAAAAAUAUGAAACUCAUUCAACAAGAAAAUUCAGCUUUGGCAGCGUUCUUAAAUUGUGGUCAAAUUUCUUGAAGAAACUCUGUAAAUCUGGAUUAACAUAUGGACAUAUGUUUUACACAUAAAGCCACACACACAUAUUCAAAAGUUAAUAGCAUUGCACAAAAAAAUAGAGCAAAAACUACAACAUCAAAAACAAAUUGAACUCAAGCAAUUCCAUGAGCAUUAGAAACAAAAACGUAGUUGUGGCAAAAGAACCCUCUGAAAUAUAUUUACAACGAACUUUCAUCAAAUAAAUAAACAAAAGUAAAACAACACACGCCGCAUAUUCAAAUCAGGUUCAACGUCAGAACACUGGCAGUCAAGCGGUUUUUACACAAUCUUUCAAACACAAAAAUUCCCAAAGACACACACAUGCACACAUAUCUCAUCAACAUCGACAACAUCGAAAUUGCUAUUGAGCAACAAUACAACAACUGCAAUGUGUAAAAGCUUCGACAGCAUUAGCAACAACACAUAAGCAACAGCAAGACACACAGCAGCAUUUAAACUUUGCAUCAUAAAUUUAUGAACCAGCAGCAGUCGCAGUAAUUGCUAUCAAUAAAAUAUAAACCCCAAAAAACGUUCAAACUCUCACUCACACUAUGGCCAUGCCCAGUGCCAGACCGACCAACAAGCGGCCAGCAUGUCAGGCCAAACUUACCCACAAAGCACUCCAUCGUGUUAUCGCAUUCAACUAUUCCACCCCCCAAUCACUGCCAACCCGCCCAUUUGGCCUAGCUAAUGACAUGAGGCCGCUGUAAAUGAAAUUACAAUAUUUCUAUUGAACAUGGCAGACAGACAGCCAGCAACUAAGUGAAAAGAUUGCAAAGACAGCAUUUGAAGAAUAAGAAAAGCCAAAAUUCAAAGCAAAAUUACUUUCAAAAUCACUUGAUGCAUGUAAGAAAUGUACACCUACAUACAUAUAUUAUAUCUUAGUAAUGUUUAAUCUUAAGUUGUCCGAACCAUAUGUGUAUACACAUAAACCCAAACCUAUUGCUCUACAAAGCCAAAUUCUGACGAUUUAUUUCGCUAUUCUUAUUUUUCUUUAAUGAAAAUUUCAUCAAACUAAAGAAGACCCGUUUCGAUAUCGAUUUCCAUCAGCAAUCACCAUCAGCUAGCAUAUAGUACUUUGUACAAUGCAUUCAUUAGCAUUACAAAUCUCCUUCAAAUAUUUUUUAUAUUUAUAUAAUCAUUUAAUCAAAAGAGAUGCUCCUCCGCAACACACACUGAUACAUCCUUACAUAUUUAUUAGCGAAUAUCCUUUCUUAUUUGAUACAAUUUCUUUAAAGUUUUGACACAAACACAGCCAAAAGACGGAGGGAGUUCAAAAUUGUUAUUAUGUGAAAAUUCAGUUCAGUUGAGAAUUCAGAAACCCUUCACUAUUUCGGUAGUUUACCACUAAAUCAUUAUUAGACACAUAAAUAUUUUGACAUUCACUGGCAAUUUCAAUUUUCUACAAAAUGUGACUCACUCACUUCUGCAUGUAACGAAGUUUCCACGAACCGCCGUCAAUGAUUUUCAAAAUAUGUGGUUGGGAUCUGUCCAGAGAGACUGCCUUGCGAAAUCAAAUAUUGCUUGAUUGUGCGGUAAAGAAUCAUCAGGGGGGAUACCCAGUGUAAUUGCUUUAUAUACGCAAUGAACGAAAAAGCGCCAGAAAGCGCAAUACAUACACUCAUAUAUAGUUAUGUACAUAUUUGUAAGCAAUGAAAACGUAAACCAAAUGAAGCACCGAAUGAGGCACCCAAAUUGCAAUAAAUUAAACCCACUACGAGUAUAUAGAAUGAUUCGAACAAUAACCGAAAAUAAAUUAAAGGUUAGUAAUUUAUAUGGCAAGCGAAUAAUUUAUUUAUAUUUGAUCAGCUCUUACGUAAUCUACAUAAAAAUACAAAUGCAAAAACUUAACUCAAGCAAGAAAACUAUCAACAUGAGACCAAGUUAAAAUUGUAAUAAUCAUUAAGAAUUAAUAAGGUUAUGGGAGCAUAUCUCCUAGCAUUAAUCGAAAACAUUAUCGUAUGAAUAACUCCAAAGUACACGUAACUACACUCUGUAUCCCCUCAAUUGUGGACACAUUUUGUUGUCGCCAUAAUACGAUUAUAAUGUAAGCAAACGAAUUGCUUAAAUUCGUUAAUAUUUAUUAAGAAAAAGCCAAAAAUCGAUGAGCUUUUGGAAUCAACUAAAGUUAAGCUGGUCAUGCAAGUGAUUUAUGGUACAUAAAGCUUGUAUGCCGCAUAAAAAUUGUAAAUGCCAAUCCUUUUGUCUAAAAUGUUCUCUUCUUAUCGAUUUUGUAUUCGCAAACAUUUUAGACGAGACGAUUGUUGCAUUUUUUAACAACAACAUUAUUUAUUUUCAACAUAUGUACAAAAUUAUAUAUAGAUAUUAGUGACAAUCGUUAAAGUGUUAUUCAAUCUCUUUGAUAGAUCUAGCAUUUCCGGUAUACAUACAUACAUACAUAUAGACUGCAUGCUAAUUCAAAUAUAAGUAAAAUUACAAAUUAAAAAUAUAUCUGAAUUAAAUGUUAAGUAAAGUAUACAAAAAUUGUUAACACUAUCAAAUACAAAAGUAGUUUCAUAUAACUCUAUAACUGUAAAGUAAUGUGCUGUUCAAAAAAAUUAUAAAUCGUAUAAUAAAACACAAUUGUACAAACCAAUUUGCUCCUAAUAAAUCAAUAUCAACUCAAA